UACAGAGGUCUCAAGCGUUGUUCGGAUUCAUUGGGCGUAAAGGGUGCGUAGGCGGCGCGGUAAGUCGGGUGUGAAAUCUCGGAGCUUAACUCCGAAACUGCAUUCGAUACUGCCGUGCUUGAGGACUGGAGAGGAGACUGGAAUUUACGGUGUAGCGGUGAAAUGCGUAGAUAUCGUAAGGAAGACCAGUGGCGAAGGCGGGUCUCUGGACAGUUCCCGUGACGUGAGGCACGAAGGUCAGGGGAGCAAACGGG
rnacentral:rRNA from 1 species